rnacentral:rRNA from 1 species
GACGAACGCUGGCGGCGUGCCUAAUACAUGCAAGUUGAGCGCUGAAGGUUGGUACUUGUACCGACUGGAUGAGCAGCGAACGGGUGAGUAACGCGUGAGGAAUCUGCCUUUGAGCGGGGGACAACAUUUGGAAACGAAUGCUAAUACCGCAUAACAACUUUAAACACAAGUUUUAAGUUUGAAAGAUGCAAUUGCAUCACUCAAAGAUGAUCCCGGGUUGUAUUAGAUAGUUGGUGAGGUAAAGGCUCACCAAGGCGAUGAUACAUAGCCGACCUGAGAGGGUGAUCGGCCACAUUGGGACUGAGACACGGCCCAAACUCCUACGGGAGGCAGCAGUAGGGAAUCUUCGGCAAUGGACGAAAGUCUGACCGAGCAACGCCGCGUGAGUGAAGAAGGUUUUCGGAUCGUAAAACUCUGUUGGUAGAGAAGAACGUUGGUGAGAGUGGAAAGCUCAUCAAGUGACGGUAACUACCCAGAAAGGGACGGCUAACUACGUGCCAGCAGCCGCCGUAA